CUUGGGAGCCCAGCAGAAGUUAAACCAUACAGAUUAUCAACAUGGGACGAAGAUCUACAUCAUCCACCAAGAGUGGAAAAUUCAUGAACCCCACAGACCAAGCCCGAAAAGAAGCCCGGAAGAGAGAAUUAAAGAAGAACAAGAAACAGCGCAUGAUGGUACGAGCUGCAGUUUUGAAGAUGAAGGACCCCAAACAGAUUAUCCGGGAUAUGGAAAAAUUGGAUGAAAUGGAGUUUAACCCAGUGCAACAGCCACAGUUAAAUGAAAAAGUACUGAAAGACAAACGUAAAAAGCUGCGUGAAACCUUUGAACGUAUUCUACGACUGUAUGAAAAAGAGAAUCCAGAUAUUUACAAAGAAUUGAGAAAGCUAGAAGUAGAAUAUGAACAGAAGAGGGCUCAACUUAGCCAAUAUUUUGAUGCUGUCAAGAAUGCUCAGCAUGUGGAAGUGGAGAGUAUUCCUUUGCCAGAUAUGCCGCAUGCUCCUUCCAACAUCUUAAUCCAGGACAUUCCACUUCCUGGUGCCCAGCCACCCUCCAUCCUUAAGAAAACCUCAGCCUAAGGUCCUCCGACUCGAGCAGUUUCUAUACUUCCUCUUCUUGGACAUGGUGUUCCACGUUUGCCCCCUGACAGAAAACCUCCUGGCCCUCCCCCUGGGCCACCUCCUCCUCAAGUCCUGCAGAUGUAUGGCCGUAAAGUGGGCUUAGCCCUAGAUCUUCCUCCUCGUAGGCGAGAUGAAGACAUGUUAUAUAGUCCUGAACUUGCUCAACGGGGUCAUGAUGAUGAUGUUUCCAGCACCAGUGAAGAUGAUAGCUAUCCUGAGGACAUGGAUCAAGAUAAGCAUGAUGACAGUACUGAUGACAGUGACACCGACCGAUCAGAUGGAGAAAGUGAGGGGGAUGAAUUUGUGCACCGUGAUGAUAAUGAGAGAGAGAACAAUGAGGAAAAAAAAUCAGGUUUGAGUGUACGAUUCGCAGAUAUGCCUGGAAAAUCAAGGAAGAAAAAGAAGAACAUGAAAGAGCUGACUCCUCUUCAAGCCAUGAUGCUUCGUAUGGCAGGUCAGGAAAUCCCUGAGGAGGGACGGGAAGUAGAGGAAUUUUCAGAGGAUGAUGAUGAUGAUGAUUCUGAUGAUUCUGAAGCAGAAAAGCAGUCACAAAAACAGCAUAAAGAAGAAUCUCAUUCUGAUGGCACAUCUACUGCUGCUUCACAGCAGCAGGCACCCCCACAGUCUGUUCCUCCUUCUCAGAUACAAGCACCUCCCAUGCCUGGACCACCUCCUCUUGGACCACCACCUGCUCCACCUUUACGGCCUCCUGGACCACCUACAGGCCUUCCUCCUGGACCACCUCCAGGUAAGUACUUAAAUGAUGUGAAUAAAUAUUUAAGUUUACAUGAGGUUAGAAUGAAGUCAUUUUUUAAAACAUCAUGCAUCAUUACUAUUGAUGUUUUCUCAUUCUUCCUAGUGGAAUUCUCUAAGCUAUUGAGGAGUCUCAAAGGAGAAGUCAAACGUGUUCAUUUAUGAAGCAUUG